GCUGACUAAGACUGUAGCUCAAGUCUCAAAUUGAACCAUAUGAAUUUGUACAAGCACCAUUAGCAGAAUUAUAAUCUCAAAUCAAGGUAUGUAACUGGAUAUCCAUGUUUGAAAAGCCUGGCUUGUGUAAUUGAGCACAUAAUUAUGCAAGCAGAUUUGGUUGUACAACUUUUAAUGCCAGCCAGCAAUGCUGCAUUUCUAGCACUUUUUCCACUUUGUGCAAACCGGCAGGAACUGGGAAAUUAAACAUUAUCAUAUUUAUUCUAUACGGAUUUUCUGCUCACUUUGAAGAACUACAUCUGAAACUAACAAGGUUAGCUGAAGAAAUGUAUCUUUCAAGAAAAGGCACCAUAAACAAGAGUAAUUUCAGAAGUUCAGCUCUUCAUAAGAGACACGGACUUGUCUUCAGAAGAAGGCUUGGAUUGUACUAGGGAGCUCUGUGUUCAGCCCCGUUUGUUGAAUGGACCUUGGACUUAUGUCAUGGACUUUUCUCAAACGGUUUACAGAUUUAACAGACUAUGUGCUAAGAACUGGAAAAAAAAGAAAAGAAAAAAAAGUGUAACAAAUAAUUCACAGAACUUCUGUUGAACUUCUGGCUACCAGAAUGGACACAAUGGAUUCCUAACUGUCACCUGUGGGAAAUUCUGCUGGCAUUUCAAUAUUUCUGCCUUAUCUUGUCCUUAUCUCCAGAAAGCACUAUGGGACUAUAACUCCAAUUUCUCGUCUGUGGAGCCUUGAAAUCUCCUCCUGCACAGAAAGGAAUCAGAAAUACAGAAGUUUUCCUACUACUGAAGUGACUUUUCCAAAGUUAAAAUAUGCUCAUUUAACUUUAAUUUGAAUGUAAUUCAAGACUAGUUUUAUAAUGGAUGUUCUUUGUUGGAUAUAAAUAGAAAAUAAGAAAUAUGAAACUGCACAAGUGCAGUGUGGGACUAUCUGCCGAGCAGCUCAGAUUAAAAUAUUCAAAAUCUAAGAUGCAUCUAAUCUGUUAUGAAUUUUUCUCUUGGUUUAUUUGCCUAUUAUCAUCAUUUCAUCAUUUGCUCUUAAGGGUAAAUUAAUAUACUCAUAUUCCAAGUAAUUUCAAGCCCCAGCGUUGUCUGUAGAUAUUUUCAAUUCAUGUAAUUCAUUCUGAUGAACCUAUACUUAAAUGUUUCCAUGAGUGCAAUGUCACCAGUGUCACGUGAGGACCUUCAAUAGUGCUUUGAUGGCAAGAGCAGUCCUGCUUAUCUUAGUGGUCUGUGAUUUCUCUGCUUAGGUGUGGGGGGAGACAACAAAGAGCUCAACAGACUCUGGUAGAUCUUAUCUCUGUGAGGCCUCCGGAGUCUGGAGACAGGGCUAAGGUGUAAACAGAAUACUCUUUAGUAUGCACAGCUAAUGUGG